rnacentral:rRNA from 1 species
UGGGGAAUAUUGCACAAUGGGCGCAAGCCUGAUGCAGCCAUGCCGCGUGUAUGAAGAAGGCCUUCGGGUUGUAAAGUACUUUCAGCGAGGAGGAAGGCGUUGUGGUUAAUAACCGCAGCGAUUGACGUUACUCGCAGAAGAAGCACCGGCUAACUCCGUGCCAGCAGCCGCGGGAAUACGGAGGGGGCAAGCGUUAAUCGGAAUUACUGGGCGUAAAGCGCACGCAGGCGGUCUGUCAAGUCGGAUGUGAAAUCCCCGGGCUCAACCUGGGAACUGCAUCCGAAACUGGCAGGCUAGAGUCUUGUAGAGGGGGGUAGAAUUCCAGGUGUAGCGGUGAAAUGCGUAGAGAUCUGGAGGAAUACCGGUGGCGAAGGCGGCCCCCUGGACAAAGACUGACGCUCAGGUGCGAAAGCGUGGGGAGCAAACA